CCGGUUGAUCCUGCCGGAGGCUACUGCCAUCAGAGUUCGAUUAAGCCAUGUUAGUCGAGGGUGCUUCUUCUUCGGAAGAAGUAACCCGGCGGACGGCUCAGUAACACGUGGAUAACUUGCCCUUGGGUCUGGGAUAACCCCUGAGAAAUUGGGGACAAUACCGGAUAGGGCAUCGAUAGCUGGAAUGCGCGAUGUCCAAAAGCUGAGGCGCCCAAGGAUAGGUCUGCGGCCGAUUAGGUUGUUGUUGAUGUAAUGGAUCAACAAGCCUGCAAUCGGUACGGGUUGUGAGAGCAAGAGCCCGGAGAUGGGUUCUGAGAAAAGAACCCAGGUCCUACGGGACGCAUCAGGCGCGAAAACUUUACAAUGUGCGAAAGCACGAUAAGGGAACUCUGAGUGCCUCCUAUGGAGGCUGUUCAGGUGUCUAAAAAGCACUUGAAGUAAGGGCUGGGUAAGACCGGUGCCAGCCGCCGCGGUAACACCGGCAGCCCAAGUGGUAGCCACAAUUAUUGGGUCUAAAGCGUCCGUAGCCGGCCAGGUAAGUUCUUUGGGAAAUUUAACCGCUCAACGGUUAAGCUUUCAGGGAAUACUGCUUGGCUUGGGACCGGGAGAGGUCAGAGGUACUUCAAGGGUAGGGGUGAAAUCCGUUAAUCCUUGAGGGACCACCAGUAGCGAAGGCGUCUGACCAGACCGGGUCCGACGGUGAGGGACG
rnacentral:rRNA from 1 species